AAUAGGUCGCAUAGAGGAAGAAGCACAACGCCUGGGAAUCAACAACACGAAAACUUUGUUAUUAAUGAUUCCCUUUCUUUAUCGGGAUCGGAACUAAGAGAAAUGGUUGGGACAACAAACAUCCAUCUUGUUCGUACUUUGGAUACCCAUAUAACCAUCGAAGAUUGUUGAAGUAACUAAUUCUUGGAAAUUAAGGAGCGUUGAGAAAAAAGAAAUUGUUGGAGUUUACUUUUUUAUCUAGUACGAACACACUUGAUGAUAAGAAAAGAUCUUUUGCAAGAGGGUUGGCUAGAGAUUUCUUGUAAAAACAUUAGCCCCGCUCAAUUCAUAAUGACAAUAUUUCGACCUUUUUUUCUAAUUCCAUGGAUUAUUCUCAUUAUGCACAUAAAGGAGGAGCCGUAUGAGG
rnacentral:lncRNA from 1 species